rnacentral:rRNA from 1 species
AUACGGAGGGUGCAAGCGUUAUCCGGAUUUAUUGGGUCUAAAGGGUCUGUAGGCGGAUCUGUAAGUCAGUGGUGAAAUCUCAUAGCUUAACUAUGAAACUGCCAUUGAUACUGCAGGUCUUGAGUAAGGUAGAAGUAGCUGGAAUAAGUAGUGUAGCGGUGAAAUGCAUAGAUAUUACUUAGAACACCAAUUGCGAAGGCAGGUUACUAUGUCUUAACUGACGCUGAUGGACGAAAGCGUGGGGAGCGAACAGUAUUAGAAACCCCGGUAGUCC